rnacentral:rRNA from 1 species
AGCCAGGUCGGUUUCUAUCCUCAAUCUUAUAUAAUUUUUAGUACGAAAGGACCAUUAUUAUAAAAUAUUUUUUAUUUGUUUGAAUAUUAUAAA